CUCUUGCAGCGUGGCGUCAGGCCUUGGGUUGACCUACGCGUGUCAUGCCCUUGUCCUGUCCAUCCUGUGUGAAGGAAAUGGAGUCCUGGCUCUGCCGUACUGGAAAGAUAAGCGCUGCAAUGGCUGGUGCUGGCCCCUGCCCGGGGAUUUUGAGGAGAGGUUGCCAGGAUGAGUUUCUCUGAUGCAUCAGCAGCCAGGGCUGUUGUGCAAGUGAGCAGGUGAGCAAGGUGUGAGGGGAGAGGGCAGGGAGGAGAGGAAUGGAUCAGCCCCUAGUGAUGGAUGGUGGCUGCUCCUCCUUUGUUGCUUUUUGCGUCUCUUGCAACGUACAAGUUUCUGUUUAAAUGGCUUGUUUGUGGCAUGCGUUUGUCCUCUCCACUGGCUGUGAAGCACAUGGAGACCUGAGUCUGCUCUGCUGGAGCAAUUGUUUAAAAGAAACCAUCUUGCAUGCUAUUUUUCCUAGGGGCUUAAAUGUCCGUAGCUCCGUUGUCAUGGGAGCUCUAUUGCCACGCAGUGGAACCCACGUGUUCUGCUGUCACCUUGGUACCAUCCGUGUUACAGUGGUCUAAUGGCGGGUAUUUGCCUCUGUGUCUGUUUUUUUUUUACCAGUUUGGCAUGAUGGAGGUUAAUAAUUGUCCGCAGCCAUGUCUGUCAGGAUGUAACCAUGUGAGCAAGGUCUGAGUGGAGAUGUUGGAGCGGAGAGGAAUGGGUCUGCAGGUAGUGAUGGAUGGUGGCUGCUCCUCCUUUGUUGCUUUUUGUGUCCCUUGCAGCAAUGAGGCAAACUCGAAUUGACGUGCUUGUGGAACGCGCUUGUCCUCCCCAUCAUAUAGGAUGGAAAUGGAAACGUUGGACUUCUCUCCUGGAAGGACAAGUUUGGCUAAAUCCUAGCUGUUAAUGGUUCCCUUGACUCUAGAUUUUGGAGAACAGUUUCUGAGGAUGGUUGUGAAAUAGCGUAGUGAGCUCUGUCUGUCGUGCAAGCAAGCGGGUGAGGAAGUUGUGAGAGGGGAGGGCAGGGAGGGGAGGAAUGGAUCAGCCCCUAGUGAUGGAUGGUGGCUGCUCCUCCUGUGUUGCUUUUUGCAUCUGUUGCAGCCUGGCAGAUGGCCAUGAAUUGACGUGUUU